CAGUCGCCGCGGUAAUACGUAGGUGGCAAGCGUUGUCCGGAAUUAUUGGGCGUAAAGGGCUCGCAGGCGGUUUCUUAAGUCUGACGUGAAAGCCCCCGGCUCAACCGGGGAGGGUCAUUGGAAACUGGGAAACUUGAGUGCAGAAGAGGAGAGUGGAAUUCCACGUGUAGCGGUGAAAUGCGUAGAGAUGUGGAGGAGCACCAGUGGCGAAGGCGACUCUCUGGUCUGUAACUGACGCUGAGGAGCGAAAGCGUGGGGAGUGAACAGGAUUAGAUACCCGUGUAGUCCCUGUCUCUUAUAC
rnacentral:rRNA from 1 species